rnacentral:tRNA from 1 species
GCAUUGGUGGUUCAGUGGUAGAAUCCCCGUUUUUCAUGUGAGGGACCCAGGUUCGAUUCCCAGCCAAUUCA